GUACGAACGCUGACGGUGUGCUUUAGACAUGCAAGUCGAACGAGAAAGCCCUUCGGGGUUAGUAAAGUGGCGAACGGGUGAGUAACACGUGGGCAAUCUGCCCCUCGCAAGGGGGACAACCGGAGGAAACUCCGGCUAAUACCCCGUAAGUUCAAAGGGAGGCAUCUCUCUUCGAAGAAAGGUAGCUUCGGCCAUCCGGCGAGGGAUGAGCCCGCGGUGCAUUAGCUAGUUGGUGGGGUAACGCCUACCAAGGCGACGAUGCAUAGCUGGUCUGAGAGGAUGAUCAGCCACACUGGGACUGAGACACGGCCCAGACU
rnacentral:rRNA from 1 species